GCCGGGGGGGCGGGGAGGGGUGGGGGUGAGGGCGCAGGGGAGGGGGCGCGGCGGAACUCCCCGGACCAGCAACACAGCAAUCAAAAAAAAAAAAAAAAAAAAGAAAAAAGAAAACACCGCAAACAAUAAUAAUAAAUAACCCAAAUUAAGGGUCGGAGAGGCGUCCCACCUUGGUCACUCUUGGAAACCACCUCUUCCUCCCCUCCCCAAAUGCAAAACACAGGGGGUGAGGGUUAAAAAAAAAAAAAAGAAAAAAAAAAAGAAGAAAAACAAAACAAAACAAAACAAGGAUAAAUUCUGCUCGGGAGGAGCAAAAGCGUCUGCGGAGGUCGGGACAGCCAGAGAGGGCUGGAGGGGAAGCCGGAGGUGGAAAGUUCUAACAAGAAGCCUCUUGCCCCAGCAGCCGCCGGGGCUGGGGAAUUCGCAGGAAACUCCUCCUGGCUGUUCCCUGGGUCCCCGGCGUCCUCGCCUCUGCCAGCGCUGGCCCGGGGUCCCCUCGCUUGCCCCCAGUGUCCUCGCUCCCAGCACACUCACACUGCGCUGUGACCCGUCCCACAUCUGACAGUCACAGUGUCGGGGAGCUUCUCAGGGUAGAGGCUGGACGGCCGGGGUGGCCGUGCGACCCCCGCAGUGGCCCUGGGCCCCCAGGGGCUGGAUGCUUUGCUGUCACCGUGUCGGAAUCCAUCCUUGUUAAGGUGCGCGCUUUGCCAUGACGUGGGGCCUGCUGUCCCCCAUCCCCAAACUGAGUCACUAAUGCCAAGCCUUAGGAGCGGAGGUAGGGGAAGUUUGCAAAUGAUAUUCAUUCAUUCAUUCAUUCAUCCACCAGCUGUUUAUUGAGCAGUUACUAUGUGCCAAGCCCCGUUCUAGAUGUUGGAGAGACAGCAGCGAGGAUAGCAAGGUCCGGGGCGGGCAUCACCACCUGGUCGGGAGGCGAAGAGCACCAGGAAGGAGACGGGCAGGGGGGGGGACAGAGGGAUGAGGGCAGGCAGGGGCUGAGUGAUGGCGGUGGUUGAACAGCUGCCUGAGGAGGUGGCCCGGGAAGGCCCCUCUGAGGCGACCAUGGGGCAGAGACCUGAAUGGAGGGGAAGCGAGACCACAGAAAUCCGGGUGAGGGAGCACAGGGGAGGAACUGGGAGUCCCCAGGCAGGACUGUGCUGGGUGUGCGGGA
rnacentral:lncRNA from 1 species